rnacentral:rRNA from 1 species
GAGGUGGAGCUAAUCCCACAAAGCUGGUCGUAGUCCGGAUCGGAGUCUGCAACUCGACUCCGUGAAGUCGGAAUCGCUAGUAAUCGUGAAUCAGAAUGUCACGGUGAAUACGUUCCCGGGCCUUGUACACACCGCCCGUCACACCAUGGGAGUGGGUUGCUCCAGAAGUAGAUAGUCUAACCCUCGGGAGGACGUUUACCACGGAGUGAUUCAUGACUGGGGUGAAGUCGUAACAAGGUAGCCCUAGGGGAACCUGGGGCUGGAUCACCUCCUUA